ensembl:lncRNA
UUCCUCUGUUGUAAACAAGGUGCAGAGCAUCCGGGUUCUACGUCAGAACGCAGGCUCCUGCAUCAGCAGUGCUACAUGCGUGGUACUCUCUUGAAUGCUUGUCGAAGACUGACACAGACGAGAAAAGGUUGUUUUCUUUGUGCACAAAAAGUAUUCUUGUAGCUCCAUAAAAUGAUGAUGUCAGAUUUUAUCAAGAAUAUACUAAUUUGUGUUCCAAAGAUGAAAAAGGUCUUACGGAUUUGGAACAACACAAGGGGUUGUCGUGUCAAACAAAGCUUUAAAAAAAUGGAAAACAUCUUUUCACAUCUGACCUGCUAUUUUUUUUUUGUAUCCUUGUACAUAUGGGACUAUCCAAAGAGAUUUAUGGCAAAGACGUUGAAAGGGGAUUUAGAUGAAUGCAGGAUCUCCAUGAAACCAGUAGAUGGCAGCACACUUGAGGAGGUGAUGCACUGUUUGUUUAUGAGAGAGAUAAAGUGUAUGAUGAGCAGUUACUUCAUAACCUAUAAUCCAUUAUACCUCAUUUCUGAGCAGUAAAAUAAUUUAGAAUUGCUUUGACUUUUCUAAGCCAUCGGUCAUAUGAUUUAUACUUGGUAAACAAUACAACAAAACAACUCUAGCCAGUAAGCAACCAACCACCCAGAAUACCCUAGCAACUGCAUAGCAACCCAUCAAAAACCACCGUAACAACCCCAUAUCAACAUCCUGGCAAGACUUUUUCCAGACUGGAUUCCUGUGGAGUGUUUGUGCAUUGCGCAAUGUGCAAAAUGCACUAAACUGCAGACUUCAGAAAGCAACUGUCCACUUAGCGUAACCCAGAAUUCAUUUCUUCACUCAACCCAGAGUCAGAACCAGGAAUUUGUGCAGAUAUAAUUUAUGUGUUUUAAAGUGCCUGCUGUGCAGUUAGCUGGAAAAUAUCCAAGGCAAUAGCAGUACGCUAAAACCAAUAUAUGGCUUCUCUGACCUCAGAGCUUCUAGAAAUGUACAUAGAUCCAGAUGAGAUAGGGUGAGACUCAUUAUAAUGUCAGUCUGGUCCGAAAUACGGAAACAUCUUAAAAUUUUCAGCAUUCCACUUACUAAUCUUAAUAACUAUAAUUGUAUAUCAGCACACUUGUAUUGGUAUUGAACAGUAAGCUCAAUCAAAAUUCUAAAGCUCUCUUCAUCAUGUAUGAAUUAUAACAUGUGAAACCACAGCAUGACAAAUUACAACCAAAACCAUAACCUUCCAUUAACCUUGUUUACACAUCUCACAAAACAAAUGGUUGUGAUGUGUCCAUUCUAUACCUUUGAAUGAUCACUCAAGAUCUUUCUGAACAAAUGUAUGAGUGAUUCCAGACAUGAUCUCUGAUAGGAAACAGCAAUGCGAUUACACAACCUUCAAGGUUAAUCGUUUAAGUCUGGAGUGAGGUAUGAGGUUUGAUUAUGUCAGACUCUCUACACAUAACCUCUACUAGAUUAGCAAGGGUAUUUAGGUCUUGAAUAAUGCGUCACAUCUUUUUUAAAGACCUUGUUAGAGUUCACUAAAGAUUUAAAGGAAUACUUCCCCCUGAAAUUAAAAAUGUUCUGAUAAUAUAUGCACCCUCAGGCCAUCCAAGAUGAGUUUGUUUUUUCAGCGGAACAGAUGUGGAGAAAUUUAGCAUUGCAUCACUUGCUCACCAAUGGAUCCUCUGCAGUGAAUGGGUGCCGUCAGAAUGAGAGUCCAACAGACUCCAGUCCAUCUGCAAAAACAAAUCCAUCAUUACGGUGUUUUAACUUUAAACGGUCACUUCUGGCCAAAAUAAAAUUACGUAAUCUAUAAUAGCACUUCCUCCAGCAAAAAUAAAAAAAUUAAAUAAAUAAAUAAAUAAAAGUGUCUUCUCACUGACAUAUUUCUUUAGAACUAUCAUGGAUUGUUUUUGUUUCUAAAUGGCGCUUGAUGUGUGCAUAUGUUACUACUGACUCCCAGAUGAGCCAGAAGCAAUGGUUUUAAGUUAAAACCGUCUUAAUGUUGGAUUUGUUUAUUAAAAACACACCACUAAUGUAUGACUUUGAUUAAUUAUGGAUUAUUGAGAUGUUUUAUCAGCUGUUUGGACUCUCAUUCUGACGGCACCCAUUCACCGCAGAGGAUCCAUUGGUGAGCAACUGAUGUAAUGCUAAAUUUCUCCAAAUCUGUUCUGAUUAAAAAACAAACUCAUGUUGGAAUGCCAGAGGGUGAGUAAAUUUCCAGCAAAUUUUCAUUUUUGGACUAUUAGAAAGGUUCAAAUAAGGAAACAAGUUUAUCAUUCACUCAAAUCUGUGAAGCAUUUUCUAUCAAACAGCAUAUUGUGUCCGUAUGCAAGGCUGAAGAUGUUAAUGUGAAGACAUAAUUAAUGCUUUGCUCAUUACUGAGAAGUAAACCAAGAAGAUUUGUGUGCGGAGCAGCUGCAAACCAGCUGAAUUUCAAUUUGUGAAUACAGCAUGUAAGAGCUGCAUAGUUCAAUCAGGAUAGAUCAAUCUCUGGCUCAAGCAUUGAUAUUAAAGGUCAAAGAAAAAAGUAGCUGUGCUGCGUAAUCCAGUCAGUCAAAACCAAUAGAAUGACUAUGUCAAUGGAUAUCAGUUUUGUCGUCGUACAGAGAAGAUGUGCUGGAUCCCUCAGUAAGUUGGAUUCAUACAUCACCUCCCUUUGGCACAACUUGAGCCACUGACCCUGGAAUAUGGUUUGGGUUUCAUUAUAUCUCCUACUGGUCAUUCUCUUUGACAGUGUUAUGCAUCAAAGCCGAAAGAGGAUGAUGAAGCUAAUAAACCUAUUAGUAUCUGAUAGGUAGAGUGAAAUGAUUUGCCUACAAAUGCUGACAUGUUUCUAUGGAAGUCAUCAAAUGGUUAACAUACAUAGGAAUCCAUUUGUGCACAGACACUACCUUUCAGACAUUUGGGAUUGGUAAGAUUUUUGAAAGUUUUUGAUAGACGCCUUUUAUGCUUACAAAGACUGGACUUAUGUGAUCAAAAAUACAGUAAAAACAGUAAUAUUGUGAAAUAUUAUUACAUUUUAAGAUAACUGUUUUCUAUUUUACUAUAUUUUAAAAUGUAAGUUAUUUCCAUUACCCUGUAGCCCAAAACCGGCUGCCCACUGAAGCUAAGCAGGGUCAAGCCUGGUUAGUACCUGGAUGAGAGACCUUCUGGGAAAACUAGGUUGCUGCUGGAAGAGGUGCUAGUGAGGCCAGCAGGGGGUGCUCACCCUGUGGUCUGUGUGGGUCCUAAUGCCCCAGUAUAGUGAUGGGGACACUAUACUGUCAACAAGCACCGUCCUUCAGAUGAGAUGUUAAACCAAGGUCCUGACUCUCUGUGGUCAUUUAAAAUCCCAGGAUGUCCUUUGAAAAAAAAAAGAGUAACCCCGGCAGUCUGGCCAAAUUCACCCAUUGGCCUCUGACUAUCAUGGCCUCCUAAUCAUCCCCAUAUCUGCUGAUUGGCUGCAUCACUCUGUCUCCUGUCCACCAAUAACCUGGUGUGUGGUGGGUGUUCUGGCGCACUAUGACUGCCGUCCCAUCAUCCAGGUGGAUGCUGCAGACUGGUGGUGGAUGAGGAGAAACCCCUCCCCCCAACAUUGUAAAGCGCUUUGAGUGUCUAGAAAAGCGCUAUAUAAAUGAAACAAAUUAUUUCUUCUUAUUAUUAUUAUUACAAAGCUGAAUUUUCAGCGGCCAUCACUCCAGUCUUCAAUGUCAUAUGAUCCUUCAGAAUCCUUCAAAGAAAAAUCAUUUGUAAAAUAAAUAUAAAAAUGUAAAUAAUAUAAAAGUCUCAAUUGUUUUUAUCAAUAUGAUGCACAACAAACAUAAUGCAUGUUGAUAAAUAA